rnacentral:lncRNA from 1 species
CACCCCCGCAGACCCUUCCCCUUCCACCACCCGCUGGCUUCGCCGUUCGCCUCUCCAUCAAUCCAAUAUCUUAUUUUUCAGCUUACAGCAACGCCGUGUUCUCUAUCCCUCGACCGACGGGCAGCAGGAGCCCUCAAGCUGCCGCCACCGCCGAUCUUUCUCUCCAUGGCUCGACAACACCUGCCACCACACGAAACCAAGCCCCUAAAUUCAUUCUACAGCCUAGGCGAUACACAAUAAGAUCACACCAGGCUUCUGCGGAAAUUCUGGGGGGCAAUUUUAGACGAUGAAUUUUGGGGAUGAUUGAGGAUUGGGAGGCAAGGAUAAGAGAACAAGUCUGGGGUUUGUCGUGAUCAGUGCAGUAAUCAAGCGGGCGUUUGCGGAGGUUUUGGGGUAGGGCAAUUUCCUUCACUCAUCCAUUAAUGGCUUCUGGAGGUAUGGCUUCUCAAUCUAUCUCUGCAAUUUCCUUUCACUUCUCCAUUAAUAGCUUCCAAACAUAUUAAUCUCUCUCUGCAUUUCCUUCACUCCUCCAUUAAUGGUUUCUCGAUCUCUUUCAGCAAUUUCCUUCAAUCCUUCAUCAAUUUUCGGAAUCUGUUAUCCCAAAUUUACUUCCCGCCACUCGAGCUCCGCAAUUUUAUGUUUGCUAUCAUGAGGGUUUUAGGCAGCAAACCCUCCUCUAUUGCCCUCGCACCGACAAACUUUCCUCUACCGUCCUAAAAUUUAAAAAAAUAUAGAAAAAAAAAUCAAUUUCGCCACAUAUGCGACACAUCAAUUUCAAUUUCUCAACGUAAGUGACACAUCAGUCUUGUGAGACAAUUACGAAUAAAUUAUAAAUUGAUAUAUUUCUUGAUCAAAUUAAAAGCCGAUGAUAUAAUUAAACCAAAAAACGAAAGAGUGAAUUUUUAAAAUGAUCACUUUCAUAUUGUAAAAUUAAAAAC